AGAACGAACGCUGGCGGCAUGCCUAAUACAUGCAAGUCGAACGAACACUUCGGUGUUAGUGGCGCACGGGUGCGUAACGCGUGGGAAUCUGCCCUUGGGUUCGGAAUAACAGUUGGAAACGACUGCUAAUACCGGAUGAUAUCGAAAGAUCAAAGAUUUAUCCGCCCAGGGAUGACGCCCGCGUAGGUAUUAGCUAGUUGGUGAGUAAGCUCACCAGGCGACGAUCCUUAGCUGGUCUGAGAGGAUGAUCACGCCACUACGUGGGACUGACGACCGACGGCCCAGACCUCCGACGGGACGGCGAGGACUAGGUAAGGGAAUACGUUAGGGAACC
rnacentral:rRNA from 1 species